UGUUGGGCACACAUGGAUCCCAUCUCUGUCCAGACGUGGCUUUACUCCAUGAACUUAGAGACUUAUCACAUUCGCUAUGUCCUAAACAUUCCACAAGUGCCAAAAAUAGUAAAGGGGAGAAGAAGAACAAUGGGAAAGAAAGAAUGCUGCAGCUGCUCCGUAGUGUAUUUCAAGGGUGAUUUGGGGUAAACAUAACAAGGAUUGCAAAACUCUCUUGCAAUUUCCCUUAAUAUCAACAAAGAGCAGAGUUCCCAGAGUGAGAAACCGAAAUCAGCUUUAACAGACUGCACCUGGAACAUCUCUCUCAACUUAAUCCACUCGCUUUGCACCAUUGAGAUGUAAGCACAGCCUUCAGGAGCCAGUUAUAUGACAGACUUUUCCUGAUGGGAAGACUUUGGGCUGUUCAUUACACUUACUCAAUAAAUCUAGUGAUGACGAUCUCAAAUAUAUUUGGACGAUACAAAUUUCCAAGAAAAAAAAAACAAACAUAGCUGGAAUGACAUCAAAUUAUCCAGGGAGGAGAAGACAUAAAUGGAAUAUGUUAUAAAGGGCUCAAAAAGAAUCUCUCCAAAUUGGUGAAUGAGGAGCUAGAUUGUAGAUGGACAUCCAUAGGAGUAAGAAAAUAGAGUUGAUCUGAAUCUGAGCUGAUGGAACUGAAAUGUAACAAAGCCUUUACAUCCAAGUUACUCACAGAAAAUAUUAGUUCUACAUUCAUCAGUUAUUAAAAAGAUAUAUUCUAUGCUAAUGGUCAUUACAAGCAACCUACUAAUGAAACUGCCAGUUUUGUAAUGCCUUUGUAAAAAUCUGAGCUAUGUCCAGAUCUGGUAUAAUGUACAGUAAUAAAGUUCUGUUUACCACAUCAGAGAACCUGUAAGGUUAGAGAAGGGACGGGGAAGGGAAAGAGGAAGGGAAGGGAAGGGAAGGGAAGGGAAGGGAA